UACGUAGGGUGCAAGCGUUAAUCGGAAUUACUGGGCGUAAAGCGUGCGCAGGCGGUUUUGUAAGUCUGUCGUGAAAUCCCCGGGCUCAACCUGGGAAUUGCGAUGGAGACUGCAAGGCUAGAAUCUGGCAGAGGGGGGGUAGAAUUCCACGUGUAGCAGUGAAAUGCGUAGAGAUGUGGAGGAACACCGAUGGCGAAGGCAGCCCCCUGGGUCAAGAUUGACGCUCAUGCACGAAAGCGUGGGGAGCAAAC
rnacentral:rRNA from 1 species